rnacentral:rRNA from 1 species
UAUACAUGCAGUCGAACGCUUCUUUCCUCCCGAGUGCUUGCACUCAAUUGGAAAGAGGAGUGGCGGACGGGUGAGUAACACGUGGGUAACCUACCCAUCAGAGGGGGAUAACACUUGGAAACAGGUGCUAAUACCGCAUAACAGUUUAUGCCGCAUGGCAUAAGAGUGAAAGGCGCUUUCGGGUGUCGCUGAUGGAUGGACCCGCGGUGCAUUAGCUAGUUGGUGAGGUAACGGCUCACCAAGGCCACGAUGCAUAGCCGACCUGAGAGGGUGAUCGGCCACACUGGGACUGAGACACGGCCCAGACUCCUACGGGAGGCAGCAGUAGGGAAUCUUCGGCAAUGGACGRAAGUCUGACCGAGCAACGCCGCGUGAGUGAAGAAGGUUUUCGGAUCGUAAAACUCUGUUGUUAGAGAAGAACAAGGACGUUAGUAACUGAACGUCCCCUGACGGUAUCUAACCAGAAAGCCACGGCUAACUACGUGCCAGCAGCCGCGGUAAUACGUAGGUGGCAAGCGUUGUCCGGAUUUAUUGGGCGUAAAGCGAGCGCAGGCGGUUUCUUAAGUCUGAUGUGAAAGCCCCCGGCUCAACCGGGGAGGGUCAUUGGAAACUGGGAGACUUGAGUGCAGAAGAGGAGAGUGGAAUUCCAUGUGUAGCGGUGAAAUGCGUAGAUAUAUGGAGGAACACCAGUGGCGAAGGCGGCUCUCUGGUCUGUAACUGACGCUGAGGCUCGAAAGCGUGGGGAGCAAACAGGAUUAGAUACCCUGGUAGUCCACGCCGUAAACGAUGAGUGCUAAGUGUUGGAGGGUUUCCGCCCUUCAGUGCUGCAGCAAACGCAUUAAGCACUCCGCCUGGGGAGUACGACCGCAAGGUUGAAACUCAAAGGAAUUGACGGGGGCCCGCACAAGCGGUGGAGCAUGUGGUUUAAUUCGAA